GCUCCUGUAGCCGAGACUAAGGAGGUUACAGUAGAAGAGACCGUGGCGGAAGAUAAAACCAAAGAAGUUACACCAAAAGAGCCGGUGGAAGAAAAAAUAGAAGCUGAAGCUCCAAAGGAGGUUGUUGUUGAGGAGACUAAGGAAGAAGCUCCCAAAUGCACUGAUGCACCGGCAACUGAGGAGGAGAAACCAGCCGAAGCUGUGGCGCCGGCUGCGAAAGAGGAGUGAGGGUUUCGCGGUAUCCAGCAUGUUCAAAGUUUGUUUUCUAUUGUUUCUUUCAGUUUGUUAUUUUAGUAUUAUGUAUUGGGGUUUCAAAGCAGAAAUAAUAUUAGCUUGUUGAGUCCAAAAAGCACUAUGUUAUGAUGCAUAAUUAAAUGUUUACCUGAGUAUGGCUUUCUGAUGGAAUAUUGAACCGUAAAUUAUUUUACUUAAUACUAUAUUUUCUCUCUGUUAUGAGCAAUACAUCCUUGUGGGAACCUCCCCUCCUCUAU
rnacentral:lncRNA from 1 species